CGGCGGAGCCCUCGUUCUCAACGGCGGCGGAGCCUUCGUCCUCAAAAAAUGGUUGUGAGGGGAGCCCGUGGGCAUACUGAGAUGGAGCCCCCAGAUUCAACUUCGAAUAGAGGGGAUGCUGCCGCUCGAACCUUCGAAUUGACGGUCAAUUUCUUUCCAUCAAAGGCAAAAUUAGUUGAUGGUAGCAUUCAGAACAUUGAGAGAGACACAAUUGUUAAAUGGGAGGUUGAGUUUACAGAGAUUGAUCCACAAGUUCUACAGAACAUGCGAGAGAAGG